UACGUAGGGUGCAAGCGUUAAUCGGAAUUACUGGGCGUAAAGCGUGCGCAGGCGGUGAUGUAAGACAGGUGUGAAAUCCCCGGGCUUAACCUGGGAACUGCAUUUGUGACUGCAUUGCUGGAGUGCGGCAGAGGGGGAUGGAAUUCCGCGUGUAGCAGUGAAAUGCGUAGAUAUGCGGAGGAACACCGACGGCGAAGGCGAGCCCCUGGGCCUGCACUGACGCUCAUGCACGAAAGCGUGGGGAGCAAACAGG
rnacentral:rRNA from 1 species